GGAUUAGAUACCCUGGUAGUCCGCACCAUAAACGAUGGAUACUAGAUGUUUGGAGAAUUAACCCUCCGAGUAUCAAAGCUCACGCAUUAAGUAUCCCGCCUGGGGAGUACGGCCGCAAGGCUGAAACUCAAAGGAAUUGACGGGGGCCCGCACAAGCGGUGGAGUAUGUGGUUUAAUUCGAAGCAACGCGCAGAACCUUACCUGGGUUUGACAUCCUACGAAUACUGCAGAGAUGUAGUAGUCCCGCAAGGGACGUAGAGACAGGUGCUGCAUGGCUGUCGUCAGCUCGUGCCG
rnacentral:rRNA from 1 species